rnacentral:rRNA from 1 species
GCAUAUCAAUAAGCGGAGGAAAAGAAACCAACAGGGAUUGCCUCAGUAACGGCGAGUGAAGCGGCAUAAGCUCAGAUUUGAAACCUGGCCUAGCCCGGAUUGUAAUCUGCAGAGGAAUAUUCGGCUGAUGUAUCAAUUCAAGUUCCUUGGAACAGGAUGCCGUAGAGGGUGAGAGCCCCGUUGACCUGAUAAUUGAUGCCAUGUGAAUAUCCUUCGACGAGUCGAGUUGUUUGGGAAUGCAGCUCAAAAUGGGUGGUAAAUUCCAUCUAAAGCUAAAUAUUGGCCAGAGACCGAUAGCGCACAAGUAGAGUGAUCGAAAGAUGAAAAGCACUUUGGAAAGAGAGUUAAAAAGUACGUGAAAUUGUUGAAAGGGAAGCGCUUACGACCAGACUCGUUUGCAGUUGCUCAGCCUGUCUUUGACAGGUGCACUCUUCUGCCUCCGGGCCAGCAUCAGUUUGGGCGGUUGGAUAAAGACAAUAGGAACGUGAUUCUCUUCGGGGAAUGUUAUAGCCUUUUGUACAAUACAGCCAGCCUGGACUGAGGAACGCGUUAGCUUGGAUGCUGGCAUAAUGGUCGUUAGCGGCCCGUCUUGAAACACGGACCAAGGAGUCUAACAUGUAUGCGAGUCUUAGGGUGUCAAACCCUUAGGCGCAAUGAAAGUGAAUGGAGGUCAGAGCUUCGGCGCAUGAUCGACCGAUCUGGACGUUUUCUGAAGGAUUUGAGUAAGAGCAUAUAUGUUGGGACCCGAAAGAUGGUGAACUAUGCGUGAAUAGGGUGAAGCCAGAGGAAACUCUGGUGGAGGCUCGCAGCGGUUCUGACGUGCAAAUCGAUCGUCAAAUUUGCGUAUAGGGGGCGAAAGACUUAUCGAACCAUCUAGUAGCUGGUUCCUGCCGA